rnacentral:rRNA from 1 species
UAGGGAAUCUUCGGCAAUGGGGGGAACCCUGACCGAGCAACGCCGCGUGAGUGAAGAAGGUUUUCGGAUCGUAAAGCUCUGUUGUUAAGGAAGAACGAGUGUGAGAAUGGAAAGUUCAUGCUGUGACGGUACUUAACCAGAAAGGGACGGCUAACUACGUGCCAGCAGCCGCGGUAAUACGUAGGUCCCGAGCGUUGUCCGGAUUUAUUGGGCGUAAAGCGAGCGCAGGCGGUUAGAAAAGUCUGAAGUGAAAGGCAGUGGCUCAACCAUUGUAGGCUUUGGAAACUGUUUAACUUGAGUGCAGAAGGGGAGAGUGGAAUUCCAUGUGUAGCAGUGAAAUGCGUAGAUAUAUGGAGGAACACCGGUGGCGAAAGCGGCUCUCUGGUCUGUAACUGACGCUGAGGCUCGAAAGCGUGGGGAGCUAACAGG